ACAGAGCAAGAUACUGCCAGAAAAGAUCUUACUUCUUGGUGAGCUUCCAGGGAUACUAUCAUCUCUCAAAGAGGCCCUGGAGUCCAUGAAACGAGGUUCAUUCAGCUCAAGCCCAAGAUCAUCUGAGCUGUCUUCCUGAAACCUCAGACAUGAUUUCCCUCGGUGGUUCUGAUGUCCCCAAAAGAGUCUAUGGCAGACUGAACAAGUCACGAACUUCUCUUUUUACUCACGACUUGGCCACUUUACUUUUUGCUAUUGUAUUUCACUUUGUUUGACUUAAAGGAUUAGUUCACUUAAAAAAAAAAAAACUUUUGCUGAUAACUUAC